CAAUUUAUACAAUUAACCAUUUCGUCAAAAUUAUACAAGUUGGUCAACGUUGGUUCUUUACCUCCAAGUAGAUUGCUAUUAUUGCAUAAAGUUUAAGAGCUAGUAAUCACUCUGUUCUUACUUUCUUAACCAAGGAGUAUAAAAUGGUUUAGUCUUCGAAAAUUGACCCUGGUGACCAUAAUAUGCGAUUAAACUUUAGUAGUAUAUAAUAUUUUUCCUGAAUAAUGGUGAAACUAAACAUGUUCUAAUACCCAUACUUCGAAUAUCAUCUUUGUUAUAAAUGUUAAAGCUCUAACCAUGGGUUACAAAUGGUUGUUUUAUUUUGUAAAGAGAUAGUUAAUGUUAAUAAGGACAAUUUAUAAUUAUGAUGAGACAACGUGCUUAUGGUGGGAUUGUGUGACCUCUUUUGUCCGUCGUGCGGCGGUGUCCGCAAAAAUAUAUAUUAUGAACACUCAAGAGGCCACAUUUAUUUUAAAAUUGGCUUAAAACUUGGUCAGACCAGUUUUCCCAGUUAUAUCUUGACUUAAUUUGAAACUGUGUCGCGUGGAUCAAAAGCUAGGACACAAUGUGAGACAACGCUUGUAAAUACUAUAGAAGUCAUAUUGUUUCGCCCUAUCAUCAUCUAAUUCGCUCAGCACCUACUUAGUUAUAUCGAAACUAUUUGAACACUCUUAACAAUGUCGUUUAUUCUAAUCUUUAUUACGUUUGAUCUAUACAUUUGUUUAAAUCAUAUUUGAUUAGAGUUCGAAAAUGGAUCUGUUUCGUUAAAUACAUUCCCUAUAUGGGGUUGAGGUUUUCCUGAUACGUCUUUUCUUAAACCUUGUAAACACUCUAGAAGUCGCAUGGUUUUCCCAAUAAUCAUAUAUCGUGCGCAGAAAAUAAAAACAAUCACAUGAGUUACAAAUUAUUUUGGCCCGUUGAAAGUUGAAGAACAUGGCCUCUAUCGGGGAGAGGGGCAGAUAAUAUGGCCUGAGUGAAACUUUGAGAACUCUCUAUAAGUCACUAGUUUUGGCUUAAAUGCUUGAACCUUCAAUUGUAAAACAUGGUUUCAAGCCAGAUGGGUCAGGGAAACCUGUCUUGUACGUCGCUAGAAAAGCAUUGUGAAUUCAACAGAAGUUAUAUAGUUGGCGCCAUUAUCAUGAAACUAACUUAGCAAGUUUAUUGUAAAGAUAUCUUAGCCGGCCUUCAAAGUUGUUCAGGUCAAUCGAAAAACAUAGGUGCGAGGCGGGGAUAGUUUUUAUAUGGAUAAAAGAAAAACUGGUUAACAUUAAAAAUGUCAUAAUUUUUACACAAUCGCCAAGAAACUUGCUUAUAACAUUCGGGCCUAAGAUAUUUCUAGCAGGUUUGAAAAUCGGACUAGUCCAUCGAAUUCUAUGGAAGAGGGAUGUAGGGAGUGUUUUAUAUGUCUUGAAUUAGCCCCAAGUGAACGCCUUUGGCCCUCUAUAAAUGUAUCUUCUUUAAGCUUAAUGCUCAUGUUUACAUUUUACAAUCUAUUUAUUUAAUAGUCACAACUGUAUUUGAUGGCUUUUGUACAAGUAUAUACCUGUUGUUUGUUGUUUCGCCUUUGUAUUCACAAUAUUCUUAUACAUGUAAAAUACGUGUGUACAAGAGUGCCAUAUAUAUAAAGUAUGUCAUAAUUGUUUAAGUAUGCCUAUGAUAUUCUAUGUUCAUUUUGAUGUAAAUAGUACAUUAAACUGUGUGUGUAGACGAUACUUUAUUAAGUAUGUAUGUUUGCUUGCAGAAAAUGCAGAGUGGAAUGAUGAAGUUCUUUUUAUGAAAUUCAAUAUCCUGCAUACUUGCAAAUGUAUAUUUUUAAACUUCACAUACGUAUUUACUUGUUACGAAAGCAAGCAAAACAUCUUUAUUUUCAAUAGAGAAAUCGAUGCCUUUUCAAGUCGUUUAUCAGCAAAGUUGAAUAUAAUCUUUGUAAGAAAUAGGUUGGGAUCCGCUUAAUAACUUAAAUAAGAAUCGAUUAAUCUUGAUUAAACUUUUAAUAAAGCAAGCGUGCAUAGAGACUUAGCAUGGAAUCGUAUGUGUGGCAAGUCGGGUCAAGCUAAUCGUCACUAUUGCUAAAAAUAUAAAAGCGUCUACUAAACAACUUGAGUAAGAAUGUGAUAUUGCGUGUGUUAUGUAGAUUAUAUGCAUACCAUGCUUUAGAUUGCUUUAUUAUUUACGUUGAAAAUCUGCUUACCAUGUUUCUUGUAUAAUGAUAAAAUAAUGUAAAAUUUCAAAUACAUACAAUUGCUUGAAUACGAUAAUUGCAUUACUUUUAACAUAAUUAUCAAUGUCUAAAUAAAACUAAGUCUUUCUCUGAUAUAUGUAUCGAAUAUGGUUUUUUUAUCCAGAUUUGGAUUAUUGUUUAAGAUACGCAUUUGCACUGAGGAGCAUUUUGUAGAGAUAUCGAGAUUUAUAUUUGUUAUCAAUUUUUGUUUAAGAUGAUAAAUAGUGUGGCGGCUAAAGUCGCCCUUAAAGAAAGAUUAUGAAGACAUAUCUUAAACAUAGUAGUUUUUGUUUAAUGUAUUUUGUUUAGUUUGUAUUAAUAUGUCAGUCACAUUAUGUCUGUCGUAUUCAUAUUUAAUGCUUACUUUAAAAUCAAAUCACACUCCUUAAUUCUGAAAUUGAAGAACAUCAAUUUAUCUUAUAGCCGAAAAGUCGACCAUUUAGCCCGAUUUACCUUUAUACAUGUUUCUUCAUAUGUAUUGCCCUGUUUGUAACAUAGUUAUUCUAAAAUGCAAAUAAUUCAUUCAAGACUCACAACCGAUUAAUUGUUGCGUUCCCAAAGGCUAAUUAGUGAACGUAUCAAAUGAAUAUGCUAGAUUAUCAAUAAUAACUAUGAUUUUGGCACACCAGAUACAAUAGAUGUAAUUAAAUGUGCUACUAUUAGACAUAUAUUUGAUAUUUUAUUGCAAUUACAGCAAUUGAAACGUGCAUUUGUUAUAAUUGUAUGUAUUGUAUUUAUAGCCAUGACACUAUUUGUGAAAAAGAUAUCUCUCGGAUCGGAUUGUAAAUGUGUAAACAUUAAUAAAAGAAUUUUCAGUUAAAGAAAUGCAGAAUAGGUAUAGUUUGUUUUUGCUUCUUUGUAUGUGUUUGUCAAUAUAAAUAUCCUACCGAAAAUUCAUUUCAAAUAUUAGAUACAAUAUCUCUUCACGAAAGGGCUCAUGUUUAUAAAACCUUUUUUGCUUAUAUAAAAUAGUGUAUGGUAUUAAGUCUUUGUAAAAGCGGAUCUUUUUAAUCUUUACUUAAAUCGUACUUUUAAUAUUUUCGAUUGGUAGCAUAAAUAUCUUUUGGUUUGACAAAUAAUAAAACAUCAUCGGGUGCAUGGCGCGUUAAUUAGAUUUCUACAUACUAGUAAUCUAAUAGAAAUUACUGUGUCUAUGUCGAUUCUUACACAUGCUCUUAGUUGCAAUAACGUUCAUCAAAAUAUUUCUAGAUUUAUUUCUUAAAUAUAAUAAGCAAAAAACUGUGUGUUUAGUUUUAUAAAAAACCAAGUCUGGUCAGUAUACAACUUACAUACACAAUUACGACAAAUCUUUUGAAAUGCAUUGUGAUGAUCUGAAAAUCAAACUCUAUGAUGCUAUAUCUCAAAAGUUUAUUUGUUAAAGGGGAGAUGUAGUUUAUAUAUUUGUGUGUUUGUUUUCAUUUCUUCGUGCCUCGGAAAGUUCCAGUUAUGAUGCUCUGUUAAAAUACAGCCAUUGUAUUACUUUAUUGGAAUGAAUUGUAAUUAUACGAACAUGAAUUUUAUUUAUACUGUAAUGUUUUAAGGAGUACAUCUGGACCAAGCUUUAUGGGCCCUAUGCUUUAGUUUGAAUGUAUCAAGCGAUGACCCCAAUCAUAUGUAUUGGUGUUUGUUAUUGUCCUGUGUUUUGCCUCUAAUAAAGGACCUUAAAUUGAUGAACAGAAAGAUCUCCUGCUAAUGUACCUAGAGCUGCACUUUGUUUAUAACAUGACAGACAAGGAUUUAUCACAGCUACUUUAAAUGUCCUAAAUUUGAGCACAGCUACUUUAAAUGUCUUAAAUUUGAUAUUCUUUUCAAAUAAAAUGUUUGUUACCAAAACUG